GCCUACGGCCAUACCACCCUGAGAACGCCCGAUCUCGUCUGAUCUCGGAAGCUACGCAGGGUCGGGCCUGAUUAGUACUCGGAUGGGAGACCGCCUGGGAAUACCAGGUGCUGUAAACU
ensembl:rRNA 5S_rRNA 5S ribosomal RNA